rnacentral:rRNA from 1 species
CGUCGCUACUACCGAUUGAAUGGUUAUAGUGAGCAUAUGGGAUCAGUAGAAUUAGACUGGCAACAGUCUUUCUCUGCAGAGAACUAUGGCAAACUAGGCUAUUUAGAGGAAGUAAAAGUCGUAACAAGGUUUCCGUAGGUGAACCUGCGGAAGGAUCAUUA